rnacentral:pre_miRNA from 1 species
UGUGUAAUUGCUGGAUCAUAUGGUAGAUCUUAUUAUUUGAAGAACUGCCAUACUAUUUCUCAUAGCAACUAUACCCUUUUACACUUCCACCAAUAGU